rnacentral:rRNA from 1 species
GAUGAACGCUAGCGGCAGGCCUAAUACAUGCAAGUCGAACGCUCAGUAGCAAUACUGGGAGUGGCGCACGGGUGCGUAACGCGUACACAAUCUACCUCUAAGCGGGGGACACCUCCUGGAAACGGGGAUUAAUACCGCAUAAUAUGCCGAAGUCGCAUGACUUUGGUAUUAAAGCAGCAAUGCACUUAGAGAUGAGUGUGCGUCCCAUUAGGUAGUCGGUGAGGUAACGGCUCACCAAGCCUAUGAUGGGUAGCCGGUCUGAGAGGAUGGUCGGCCACACGGGCACUGAGACACGGGCCCGACUCCUACGGGAGGCAGCAGUAAGGAAUAUUGGUCAAUGGUGGAAACAACUGAACCAGCCAUGCCGCGUGGAGGGAAUAAAGGU